rnacentral:lncRNA from 1 species
UUCCCCCUCCUACUAAAAUUAAAAUCGCAAUAUCUUCUUAAAUGAUACGUUUUAUAAAGAAAAAAUUGGAUGGUUACAAUCGCCUUUUAAAGCUGCAUUUAAUGGUGUAUUUUUUAUUUUUUCAUGAAAAUAGCCCACAUCGACACCCUUUAACAAGGCGAGAUAGGGAAAGAGUCCCGUCCUUUAGUUACAGUAGUCCAUGGUCCAACCAUGGAAUGAGUCACUGAGAUGUGACUAAGUCAACCAAACGGGGCAACAACAAUUAGACAGCAUUGAAAUUAGUCAGUGGAAAACAACACAUUCAUUCCUGACAUGAUUGAGAUUUGCCAUGUUUUCAGGCUAACUGGAAGGAUUCCUCUUUUUCACAGAAAUUUUAUCAUUUUCAUGGUAUACUAAACUGCUUGCUGGUGGAUUGUCACUUGGCAUCAUUCGAAUGGUUUGGUCCAUAUCAGCAGUGUUAUGAUGCACUUCUUAAGUACACAAAUCCCUCAGAAAAUAUUCUAAUUGAAAUUAGGAAAAUUUCUGCCCUUCAUGCAGAACUGCACAAUGAUGGGUUCAUAUAAACAAGCUUGAAAUAACAAGGUAGAAUAAUCGCAAUUUCGUGGUAGUAAUUCGCGAGAGAUAUGCCAAUAGGGUUUCGCUGUUUUCAAUUCACAAUCGUAAUGGAUUUGAAGAGGAUAUUGAUGGAAGUUUUGGUGUAAAAAAGUAUAAGUACAUGUUCGUUGGAAGGGUAACCGAAGAGUUCCGGAUCCUUAUACUAUCGUACAUGUUAUGGUAUUUUUACAAAAUCAUAGAAGUGCUUAUCUGGGCCGCCUUGUUUUCUGUGGCCCCGUUUCCCCUUGACUUAUAUUAUUUUCUUUAACCCUUUAGUGUGUUUAAAACUAAAGGCUAAAAGAGGAAGAAUGAUUCAAAAAUUGUGGGAUAGAAUCAUCAAAGAAUUAUACUCGUUUAGCUGUUUUUACUGUCCAUGGGAAUUUUUUGGUCGAGACGUUAUGGGUGUCUUAAAUGCACUGAAGGUUGCGUUAGAUGUCAUAAUCCCCAUCAAAAGGGAACGCUUAAAAUCCCAGGUGGCGAUGGUAAUUAGUGGCAAUGUUACGGUGUAGGUAACUUCAGAAAAUGUGAUGCUAGCUGAUGUAAACCGCACCAGCUGUGCUAAUACCAAGUCUGUCUCAUUAUGCAGGCUAGCAGGAAAAGGUUGUGAGAGUAGCAGAAGAAGAGGAAAUUGCAGUAAACCCGGUUUUGAAAGAAGCCAAACAUUCUGACAAUAUGGGAGCUCAGUCUGUGGAAACAAAAACCUCAUGUUUCAGGUAGAAAGACGAAAGGAACACAUCGUUCCUCAGCUACAUCUGAGGACUACUGUCACCGAAAGAAAAUCACCUUGCUUAUAGACUCGGAAGGUGAAAGCAAGACCCAAAAAUUUGCAACAACGAAGCAAGUAAGAAGUAUUUUGGCAGUUUAUCGUGCACGCAAAGCUAAAUAGUCAAUUAAAUAAAAUUUUCUUAACACAUUUUACAUGACCAUUCGUUUAAAACGAUAUUAUGUCCUCCACUGUUAGUUACAGACGACAAUUUGUAAAUGCGUCACAACAUGCCCAUAAAAAUUCUACGGAGUUGGUUAUUUCGCCCCUAGAUGUCUUGAAAAUAUACUGAAAAUGUCAGCUGUCCCGUCGGCUGUUCUAUUUCGCGUGGCCUCGGACUGAGGAUGUCUGCUGAAACGAACGUCUCUCUUUUUGAAAUUUUACCUCCGAUUCCGUGUGUUUUCAGUUGCAUCUUGUGAAUUCCAUCAAUGCAGAGUUGUUCAAGGAGGAACAUGGUUUGGCUUUGCUAUCGCGUUUUUCAUCUCCGUUUUGAUAUACCCAUUUUGUUUCAAAGGUCUUUGGGAUGUACCUGAUGUACUGUGGUGGCUGCAAAAUCAUUCAAUGACUUGGUUCAAUCCAGGUCUUGGUUUUUUAAAUAGUGGUUUACAGUUUUAAUUUGCAGAGAUCCUGGAGUCACCUGAUGUGUUUCAUUGGCGUUGGAGUCACUCGGUGACAGAAGAGAAUGCCACUCAUGUUAUGUUGUCAGUGUAAAUAAAACAUAUCCAGUAUCA